UACGGGGGGGGCAAGCGUUGUUCGGAAUUACUGGGCGUAAAGGGCUCGUAGGCGGCCAACUAAGUCGGAUGUGAAAUCCCCAAGCUUAACUUGGGAACUGCAUCCGAUACUGGAUGGCUUGAAUCCGGGAGAGGGAUGCGGAAUUCCAGGUGUAGCGGUGAAAUGCGUAGAUAUCUGGAGGAAUACCGGUGGCGAAGGCGGCAUCCUGGACCGGCAUUGACGCUGAGGAGCGAAAGCUAGGGGAGCAAACGGG
rnacentral:rRNA from 1 species